UAGCUAGUUGGUGAGGUAAAGGCUUACCAAGGCGACGAUCUGUAGCGGGUCUGAGAGGAUGAUCCGCCACACUGGAACUGAGACACGGUCCAGACUCCUACGGGAGGCAGCAGUGGGGAAUUUUGGACAAUGGGGGCAACCCUGAUCCAGCCAUGCCGCGUGAGUGAAGAAGGCCUUCGGGUUGUAAAGCUCUUUCGGCCGGGAAGAAAUCGCAUGGGCCAAUACCCUGUGUGGAUGACGGUACCGGAAUAAGAAGCACCGGCUAACUACGUGCCAGCAGCCGCGGUAAUACGUAGGGUGCGAGCGUUAAUCGGAAUUACUGGGCGUAAAGCGUGCGCAGGCGGUUUUGUAAGACAGGCGUGAAAUCCCCGGGCUUAACCUGGGAACUGCGUUUGUGACUGCAAGGCUAGAGUACGGCAGAGGGGGGUGGAAUUCCACGUGUAGCAGUGAAAUGCGUAGAGAUGUGGAGGAACACCAAUGGCGAAGGCAGCCCCCUGGGUCGAUACUGACGCUCAUGCACGAAAGCGUGGGUAGCGAACAGGGUUAGAUACCCUGGUAGUCCACGCCCUAAACUAUGUCAACUAGGUGUUGGGUGGGUAAAACCAUUUAGUACCGUAGCUAACGCGUGAAGUUGACCGCCUGGGGAGUACGGCCGCAAGGUUAAAACUCAAAGGAAUUGACGGGGACCCGCACAGGCGGUGGAUGAUGUGGAUUAAUUCGAUGCAACGCGAAAAACCUUACCUACCCUUGACAUGCCAGGAACUUGCCAGAGAUGGCUUGGUGCCCGAAAGGGAGCCUGGACACAGGUGCUGCAUGGCUGUCGUCAGCUCGUGUCGUGAGAUGUUGGGUUAAGUCCCGCAACGAGCGCAACCCUUGUCGUUAAUUGCCAUCAUUUAGUUGGGCACUUUAACGAGACUGCCGGUGACAAACCGGAGGAAGGUGGGGAUGACGUCAAGUCCUCAUGGCCCUUAUGGGUAGGGCUUCACACGUCAUACAAUGGUCGGUACAAAGGGUUGCCAAGCCGCGAGGCGGAGCCAAUCCCAGAAAGCCGAUCGUAGUCCGGAUUGCAGGCUGCAACUCGCCUGCAUGAAGUCGGAAUCGCUAGUAAUCGUGGAUCAGCAUGUCACGGUGAAUACGUUCCCGGGUCUUGUACACACCGCCCGUCACACCAUGGGAGCGGGUUCCGCCAGAAGUAGGUAGCCUAACCGCAAGGGGGGCGCUUACCACGGCGGGGUUCGUGACUGGGGUGAAGUCGUAACAAGGUAGCCGUAGGGGAACCUGCGGCUG
rnacentral:rRNA from 1 species